AGUGAACGCUUUCUUUCUUCCUAACACAUGCAAGUCGAACGGCAGCACAGUAAGAGCUUGCUCUUACGGGUGGCGAGUGGCGGACGGGUGAGGAAUACAUCGGAAUCUACUUUUUCGUGGGGGAUAACGUAGGGAAACUUACGCUAAUACCGCAUACGACCUACGGGUGAAAGCAGGGGAUCUUCGGACCUUGCGCGAUUGAAUGAGCCGAUGUCGGAUUAGCUAGUUGGCGGGGUAAAGGCCCACCAAGGCGACGAUCCGUAGCUGGUCUGAGAGGAUGAGAAGCCACACUGGAACUGAGACACGGUCCAGACUCCUACGGGAGGCAGCAGUGGGGAAUAUUGGACAAUGGGCGCAAGCCUGAUCCAGCCAUACCGCGUGGGUGAAGAAGGCCUUCGGGUUGUAAAGAAAUUUUGUUGGGAAAGAAAAGCAGCAGGUUAAUACCCCGCUGUUCUGACGGUACCCAAAGAAUAAGCAAAGGCUAAAUUCGUG
rnacentral:rRNA from 1 species